UACAGAGGGGGCAAGCGUUGUUCGGAAUUACUGGGCGUAAAGGGCGCGUAGGCGGCCUUCUAAGUCGAACGUGAAAUCUCCGGGCUCAACCCGGAAACUGCCAUUGAUACUAUAGGUCUUGAAUAUUGUGGAGGUGGGCGGAAUGUGUCAUGUAGCGGUGAAAUGCUUAGAGAUGACACAGAACACCGAUUGCGAAGGCAGCCCACUACGCAACUAUUGACGCUGAGGCACGAAAGCGUGGGGAUCAAACAGG
rnacentral:rRNA from 1 species